AACGAACGCUGGCGGCAGGCCUAACACAUGCAAGUCGAGCGGACACUUCGGGCUUAGCGGCGGACGGGGGAGUAACGCGUGGGAAUAUGCCCUUCUCUACGGAAUAGUCCUGGGAAACUGGGGGUAAUAACGUAUACGCCCUUUGGGGGAAAGUUAUAUCGGGGAAGGAUUAGCGCGCGUUGGAUUAGGUAGUGGGUGGGGUAAUGGCCUACCACGCGGACGAUGCAUAGCUGGUUGGAGAGGAUGACCCGCCACGCUGGAGCUGAGACACGGACCAGACUCGUACGGGAGGGAGCAGUGGGGUGUCUUAGAGGAGGGGGGCAACCCUGACGAAGCCGCGUCGGGGAAGUGAUGAAGGCGGUAGGGUUGUCAAUCUCUUUCAGCUGGGAAGUUAAUGACGGUACCAGCAGAAGAAGCCCCGGCUAACUCCGUG
rnacentral:rRNA from 1 species